AGAGUUUGAUCCUGGCUCAGAUUGAACGCUGGCGGCAUGCCUUACACAUGCAAGUCGAACGGCAGCGCGGGGCAACCUGGCGGCGAGUGGCGAACGGGUGAGUAAUAUAUCGGAACGUGCCCUGGAGUGGGGGAUAACGCAGCGAAAGUUGCGCUAAUACCGCAUACGAUCUAAGGAUGGAAGCAGGGGACCGCAAGGCCUUGUGCUCCUGGAGCGGCCGAUAUCUGAUUAGCUAGUUGGUGGGGUAAAGGCCUACCAAGGCAUCGAUCAGUAGCUGGUCUGAGAGGACGACCAGCCACACUGGAACUGAGACACGGUCCAGACUCCUACGGGAGGCAGCAGUGGGGAAUUUUGGACAAUGGGCGAAAGCCUGAUCCAGCAAUGCCGCGUGAGUGAAGAAGGCCUUCGGG
rnacentral:rRNA from 1 species